rnacentral:rRNA from 1 species
UACGGAGGGAGCUAGCGUUGUUCGGAAUUACUGGGCGUAAAGCGCACGUAGGCGGCUAUUCAAGUCGGGGGUGAAAGCCCGGGGCUCAACCCCGGAACUGCCCUCGAAACUAGAUAGCUAGAAUCUUGGAGAGGCGAGUGGAAUUCCGAGUGUAGAGGUGAAAUUCGUAGAUAUAUGGAAGAACACCAAUAACGGCGAAGGCAGUUAACUAUUCUGUUACUGACAUUGAGGCACGAAAGCGUGGGGAGCAAAACGG